UAUAAAUUUAGACGACAUAAUUUACUCAUAAUUUACAAUAAAUAAUAAAUUUAGACGGCAAAAAUAAAAACAUAAAUGUGGCAAGAAGGCCUUAAUGUGUUAUAAAGCCCAUGCUAGUACCCUUACACGAAUAUAAACUAAACCCA
rnacentral:sRNA from 1 species